ensembl:lncRNA
ACCUCCAGAUCCUGACUUGAGCCAAACUCAAGAGUCGACGUGGAACCAAUUGAACCACCCAGGAGCCCCUCAAAUGUUCCUAACUGCAACCCCAUACUGUGAACCCUGGGGGGCGGGGGACAUCUGUGGCCCCCAGUCUGCCUUGAAGGGCGGGAGGCCUGCAGGGCCCGAGGUUGGGAACUGAGGAUGUGGGAGGGUGCCUGCAUCCCCUUCCUGCCUGGCGUGGGGACAGGACCCUCCCCUGGGACCCUCGGCCUUCAGGGUGAAGGGCUAAGUGCUGAUUGGACCCCGCCUGCCCACAGUGAUGAUGCAGGACCCCACUGUGGGCAGAACUGUGGUGCCCCCAGGUUCCACCGCUGCCUGGUGCCCACUCUGCGUCCACAGACCUUUGGAGGCACUCGUGCUCCGGAUCUGGCUCACAGCAACCCGACUCUCCUAUUCUCCCCAGUAGCCCAGUACUCCUCUUUCCUCAGUACCCUGGUACUCCCACUCUCCCCAGUACCCCAACCCUCCCACUCUCCCCAGUACCCCAACCCUCCCAAUCUUCCCAGUAUCCCAGUACUCCCACUCUCCCCAGUACCCCAAUACUCCCACUCUCCCCAGUACCCCAACCCUCCCACUCUCCCCAGUACCCCAGUGCAUAAAGAGGAAGCGCUCGCACAGCGACAGGUCACAGCCCGCAGGGACACUAGCUGGCCGGCCCACCCACCACCAUCUCUGCGCUGGCCCCGGCCUGGGAGACAUCACCCUCGAGCAUCAGGUGGGCAGUUCCCUGGAGCCCCUGGGUCCCCCACCCAUGUGGGGGUGGGAGCGCUCUGUGACCCCAGCAUGACGGUGUGUCCUGGGACAGUGGCUGGGAAGGUGGACUGUAGGUGAGCGAGGGACAGACAGGCAGCGAGGGCCCGUGUGUGAUGCUCCAGCCCAGCCUGUGCCCCUUGGCGCUACGGGGUUGUCUCUGGCUCCAGUCAGACAGAGGGGCACCUGCCCACGGGGAGUACCUGGACACAUGUAUCCUCGGAAGGUUCUCAUGCGCCGUCAUUCUUGGAUGUGUUUGGAUUGCAGCACGAUGCAGGAAGACCUGGAGACCCUGCUGGCCUUGCAAAGGGCCAAUACCGUGUCCCAGUACCAUCAGGGACAAGGAGCUGCCCGGCCCCAGCCCCCACGAGGCCAAGGUGAGAGCCCAUCCUGGGCCCUGGGCAGGACGUGGGGGUGGUGCUGGGGCCAGCUGUCUGCACCCCGUCCCCCAGGACAUCCCCGGGUGUCUCCCCAGUCCCCCGUCCCAGCGCUGCAACGGGCUGCCGGGAAUGCACCCCAGACCAGGAGCCGUGGUCCACGGGGUGCCCUGUGCCUUCCUGGCUCCUCCGGGUCCCGCGGGGGACUGGACGCGGCCCGAGCGCCCACCUCCUGUGGCUGGAGCCUCAUCUGCAGCCCCCGCUUGUCCUCUUCCAGAAACUCCACCAGAAGACCCGGCGCGCGACAAAUGGAUAAAAAUGCUCAAGCGAUGGGACCACUACCUCCCCAGCGAGAAGGUGGGGCGCUGGGUGCCCCUGAGGGCUCUCUGUCCUGACAGAGCUGGGGGGCCGCCCUCAGUGUCCUCCUGCCCCGUCCUGGGGGGAGACCCCU